rnacentral:rRNA from 1 species
CUUUACUGUAGCUUGGAAUUGGGUUCGGGCUUUGCUUGCGCAGGAUAGGUGGGAGGCAUUGAAGUAUCCCUUGUGGGGGAUAUGGAGCCAACGGUGAGAUACCACUCUCUCGAAGCUAGAACUCUAACUCGAAUAGAGGACAGUUUCAGGUGGGUAGUUUGACUGGAGCGGUCGCCUCCAAAAAGGUAACGGAGGCGUACAAAGGUUACCUCAGACUGGUUGGAAAUCAGUCGUAGAGUGCAAAGGCAGAAGGUAGCUUGACUGUGAGACGAACAGGUCAAACAGGGUGGAAACACGGUCUUAGUGAUCCGACGGUGCUGUGUGGAAGGGCCGUCGCUCAACGGAUGAAAGUUA